rnacentral:sRNA from 1 species
GCAUGUUAGAUGACGUGAGACUAACCACCCAUCCUGCGGGCACCCCUCGUUCCACCUUGUAUGUGGCUUUCUGCGUUUUCUCCAGAGCGCACAAGGGCUGGUGAGAAGAUGCUGGAAGUGUGGCAACUCAGGGUGUUUUGUUGCCCAAAAGCAUGUCUGGUGUGGCUUUCCCAGCUACCUGGUGUCAUGAGACUGAUCACUGAGUCUCAUGAUUUGGUCAUUGAAACAACCAGAAAGACAGGUCUCUGACUUCUCUGUCCCCUCUUCUCUUCCUACGGGUCGGACUCGGGAACAUCAAUAGGAGGUACUUCUGUACCCUGGCCACAGCCCAAUCCUGCCACCGCUGACAUCUGGGGAGACUUUACCAAAUCUACAGGAUCAACUUCCAGCCAGACCCAGCCAGGCACAGGCUGGGUCCAGUUCUGACCUGAGCACGGUUUUUCCUCAUGUGACUUCUGGGAAGGCGCUCCCUCGUCUGGGCCAAAGGAAGGAGGACGAAGCCCUCCUCAGCUGGCCUGUGUUUGGGGCAUGAAUCUCUCCUCUCCUCCUUGUCU